rnacentral:rRNA from 1 species
AGUAAAUUGGUUAAGUUAGAAAGGGCGCACGGUGGAUGCCUUGGCACUAGGAGCCGAAGAAGGACGGGACUAACACCGAUAUGCUUUGGGGAGCUGUACGUAAGCGUUGAU